ensembl:lncRNA
UUAUCAAACACGAGUUUGGUUAACACAAACCUGACAUUAUUUAUCUUUUCUUUUUUCUUCCUUUUUUUUAUUUUAUUUUUUUACUUUUUUGUUGAACCUACAUGUUUUACUUCUGCAUUUAAUUUAAACACAUCUAUCUUAGUUAGGGAUUAAACAGAUGAAAAUUCUCACCGUCCAUCAGAGUAAAAUGAUCCUUAACAGGCUCUGGGUCAAACAGCAAGUCUAGAGGUGUGUUUUCAUUAGCCAUCUCUCUACAACACAGAGAAAUAACACACACUUUACCCACUUGUACUGUAAGUGUAUACAGUGUGUGUUUGUCUUUCCCCAUGUUGAAAGUGCACCGUUAAUCCACAUGCUCAUUAAUUCCUACCUUUCUAUAACAGGUGCGCUCAGAGCUCUUCCAAUCAGAACCGAGACCAGAAACAACCUUAUGAAAGUGUUGCUUUUGAGCAGCAUGAUGGCCCAGGAACUUCAGUGUGAUGAAGAUGGUCCUCACUGCAAACCUGACUGUGAUGUAAUAGACAACUUUACAGCAACACAAUGUCACUCAAGUGCAUGGUUAAAAAUUCCCUAAAUAAUGAUCCCUCUGUGAUUUUCUCCUUCAGGAUUAUACAGUAGACCUGGGACAUACAGUCUUUAAUAGGGAGGUUUGAUUAAAACUCCUUACGUCCACUUUGAAAUGAACCCGUGAGUAAAACAUUUUUGGCUGCAAGGACAUGAAGAGACAGCCGCACUUUCCUGACAGUGUUUUGACCUAUGUGAAGGAGGCUGUAGAGGACCUGAGUGAGCAUAAUAAUAAUAAUAAUAAUAAUAAUAAUAAUAACAAUAUUAAUAAUAAUGACCAUCUUUUUUAAGCAACAAUUUCAUCAACAACAUUAACAAUAAUAAUAAUAAUAAUAAUAAUAAUAGUAAUAACAACGUCAACUACAAUAAUAUCAACAGUAAUAAUGAUAAUGAUAACAUCAAUGACAACACCAACGACAACAACAGUAAUAAUAAUAAUAAUAAUAAUAAUAAUAAUAAUAAUAACAAUAUUAAUCAUAAUGGCCAUCUUUUUUCAGCAACAAUUUCAUCAAUAAUAUCAACAAAAUAAUAAUA